rnacentral:rRNA from 1 species
CCCUUAGAUGUUCUGGGCCGCGCGCGCGCUACACUGAUACAUGCAACGAGUUUAUAACCUUGAUCUGACGGUCUGGGUAAUCUUCAAACUGUAUCGUGUUAGGGAUCGAUUCUUGCAAUUUUUAAUCGUAAACGAGGAAUUCCUAGUAAACGCAAGUCAUCAGCUUGCAUUGAUUACGUCCCUGCCCUUUGUACACACCGCCCGUCGACUCUACCGAUUGAAUGGUUCGGUGAAAACUUUGGACUGUGGCAUUGUCCUUCAUUGGACUUCGCCGUAGGAAAUUGUUUAAACCUCAUCAUUUAGAGGAAGAAUAAGUCGUAACA